GAUGAAGAACGUAGCGAAAUGCGAUAAGUAAUGUGAAUUGCAGAAUUCAGUGAAUCAUCGAAUCUUUGAACGCAUCUUGCGCUCCUUGGUAUUCCGAGGAGCAUGCCUGUUUGAGUGUCAUUAUAACCACUCAAGCUCUCGCUUGGUAUUGGGGUUCGCGGUUCCGCGGCCCCUAAAAUCAGUGGCGGUGCCUGUCGGCUCUACGCGUAGUAAUACUCCUCGCGAUUGAGUCCGGUAGGUCUACUUGCCAGCAACCCCCAAUUUUUACAGGUUGACCUCGGAUCAGGUAGGGAUACCCGCUGAACUUAAGCAUAUCAAUAAGCGGAGGA
rnacentral:misc_RNA from 1 species